rnacentral:lncRNA from 10 species
AAGGAUAGCUUGAGCAAUGCCACACUAGCAAGGGAUGGGAUUUGAACCUUCAGCAGCUAGGUUCAGAAGCCACAAAUUAACUGCUACAUUGUCCUGCUUCCUAUUGAGUUGGGGGACCUGACAGACGACUGAUGGUCUUGCUAGCUCUCUCCUAGAGAGGAGAUAAAAGAGGUUCCCAUUCCUAAAGCAGGCCCUGAGCCAGGAAAAUUAGAGGUGCUGGACCAAACUGUGCUCUACUCCCAGGAAGUGUGCAGUCAAUAUAUGACACCUACGUGAGACCCUCAAAAAUGAAAACCAAACAGCUACUGGCAAAACUGUGUCUGCCAUUAGAGAUGGCGGCUGUGCCAGUGACCUGGAGGAUUACAAAUGACUGCUGUGCAGAAACAGGACUCCUAAGGGGCCCAACUUAUGCCGAUGCACUCCAUUCUGCUUCCCAAGGAAGUGGGGUUUAUGAUGAAGGGUAGCAUUGCUAGGCACAGUAAACAAGAACACAGCAUUGUGAUCUGAAAAUAAGGAAAUCAUGCCAGCUAAUGUAUUGAUUGAGGAUAAGUUGGCCUGGGGAUGUGAUUCACUCUAAUUUUUCAGAAACAUCUGAAAAUAUUUCAAACCAAAGGCUAAAAUGUGUUUCAGUGGGAUGAGAUGGACUUAGGGGAAUUGGGGUUAGAACUUGAGGGUUAUUUUGUGAAACAUGAAGGGACUUAGAGAAAGGAAAUCAACAGCUGCAUAAAUGGGCAUGUCUCUGGCUGGAGAAAUGUGGAGAAUGGAGUUCUGAUACACUGUUAGAAGGAUCUUAUGUAGCAUUUUUAUAGCUGACCUAGAAGAACACAAAAUUUCCAAGGCUGUGUUAUAAUGCGCUUUUCCAGGUAAACCAAGAGGAAUAUACCCCAGGAAGGUUGCA